AGCUAUGAUACAAACUGGGAUAAAUUUUUUCUAAGAGGGCCGUGUACUCCUGUGCAAUGGAGUCUGACUAUGGUACAGUUGAUGAGUCAUUAAACUCUGGCAGGAAGAUCAUCAUGCACCCGCUCUACCUUCCUCGCUCACUGCCGUGGCUCGAUCUGAAAGUCUUCUAUGUGAGGGUAAGCAACAUUGAGGCCGAUGACUCGACGCCCGAGAAUCUCACCCUUAACCAUGUGCCACUCACCCCCGAUACCGUCAUCGAAAUGAAUGGCCGAAGAAGCAGCAUUUACUCGGAUUGGGUCUCUUCUGUGCUUAGGAGGGACAGGGUUGACAGGACAUCGGAAGAGGUCACUUUCGUGAGCACUGAUAGUAUAAGGAUUAACG
rnacentral:misc_RNA from 1 species